UACGAAGGGGGCUAGCGUUGCUCGGAAUUACUGGGCGUAAAGCGCGCGUAGGCGGCUUUGUAAGUUAGAGGUGAAAGCCCGGAGCUCAACUCCGGAAUUGCCUUUAAGACUGCAUCGCUAGAAUCAUGGAGAGGUUAGUGGAAUUCCGAGUGUAGAGGUGAAAUUCGUAGAUAUCGAGAGGAACACCGGCGGCGAAGGCGGCCAACUGGACCACUACUGACGCUGAGACACGAAAGCGUGGGGAGCAAACAGG
rnacentral:rRNA from 1 species